AGAGAGCUUGCUCUCGGGUGACGAGUGGCGGACGGGUGAGUAAUGUCUGGGAAACUGCCUGAUGGAGGGGGAUAACUACUGGAAACGGUAGCUAAUACCGCAUAACGUCGCAAGACCAAAGAGGGGGACCUUCGGGCCUCUUGCCAUCAGAUGUGCCCAGAUGGGAUUAGCUAGUAGGUGGGGUAACGGCUCACCUAGGCGACGAUCCCUAGCUGGUCUGAGAGGAUGACCAGCCACACUGGAACUGAGACACGGUCCAGACUCCUACGGGAGGCAGCAGUGGGGAAUAUUGCACAAUGGGCGCAAGCCUGAUGCAGCCAUGCCGCGUGUAUGAAGAAGGCCUUCGGGUUGUAAAGUACUUUCAGCGGGGAGGAAGGUGNUGAGGUUAAUAACCUCAGCAAUUGACGUACCCGCAGAAGAAGCACCGGCUAACUCCGGCCAGCAGCCGCGNAAUACGGAG
rnacentral:rRNA from 1 species